GACGAACGCUGGCGGCGUGCUUAACACAUGCAAGUCGAACGGUGAAGGGGCCUGCUUUUGUGGGUCCUGGAUGAGUGGCGAACGGGUGAGUAACACGUGAGUAACCUGCCCCCUUCUUCUGGAUAACCGCAUGAAAGUGUGGCUAAUACGGGAUAUUCUGGGUCUGUCGCAUGGUGGGCCUGGGAAAGAUUGCGCCUUUUUUGGUGUUUUUGGUGGGGGAUGGGCUCGCGGCCUAUCAGCUUGUUGGUGGGGUGAUGGCCUACCAAGGCGGUGACGGGUAGCCGGCCUGAGAGGGUGGACGGUCACACUGGGACUGAGACACGGCCCAGACUCCUACGGGAGGCAGCAGUGGGGAAUAUUGCACAAUGGGCGCAAGCCUGAUGCAGCGACGCCGCGUGAGGGAUGGAGGCCUUCGGGUUGUGAACCUCUUUCGCCAGUGAAGCAGGCCUGCCUCGUUUGUGGGUGGGUUGACGGUAGCUGGAUAAGAAGCGCGGCUA
rnacentral:rRNA from 1 species